CCAGGUAACCAAGUGACUGCCUUCUAUCAGUCUCAGAUUCUCAAAGAUUCCACUGUGUGUGAUGUCUGCAAAGAAUGCGACAACUGUGUUUAAACUCCAGUUUCUUUGCUUCAAGGAUUGUGCAUGAAAUAUUUUUGAAAGUAUUAAAACUUACAUGUCAACGAAAUCCUAUAGAUUUAGGUUUCACAUUGCUAAACAUUUUGGGAAAGACUUUGCUGCUAAAGAAAUCUGUAAGGGUCUAUUUCUGUACAAUGUACUGUUAAAAAUGUUCAAUAAAUAUCGAAUGUUAUGUGCAAUU
rnacentral:sRNA from 1 species